rnacentral:tRNA from 1 species
UCUUCCGUAGUAUAGUGGUCAGUAUGUGAGCUUGUCAUUGAUCAACGCUCGAGACCCGGGUUCAAUUCCCGGCGGGAGAG